rnacentral:sRNA from 12 species
CCUAUUGAGUGUUAUAUCAAAUGAUAGUAGAUAUGAGAGUAUCUCAUAUUGAGGUCAGACACAAUGAUGUAGGAA